rnacentral:rRNA from 1 species
CAGCAGUAAGGAAUAUUGGUCAAUGGACUCAAGUCUGAACCAGCCAUGCCGCGUGAAGGAUUAAGGUCCUCUGGAUUGUAAACUGUGCUUUUAUAUGGGACGAAAAAAGGUCUAUUCUAGACCCCUUGACGGUACCAUAUCGUAAUAAGCACACGGCUAACUCCGUGCCAGCAGCCGCGGUAAUA